UACGUAGGGUGCAAGCGUUGUUCGGAAUCAUUGGGCGUAAAGCGCGUGUAGGUGGCUGAGAAAGUUGGUUGUGAAAUCCCUGGGCUUAACCGAGGAAGUGCAUCCAAAACUACUCAGCUAGAGAAUGGUAGAGGAAGGUGGAAUUCCAAGUGUAGAGGUGAAAUUCGUAGAUAUUUGGAGGAAUACCUGUGGCGAAGGCGGCCUUCUGGGCCACUUCUGACACUGAGACGCGAAAGCGUGGGGAGCAAACAGG
rnacentral:rRNA from 1 species